rnacentral:piRNA from 1 species
UUAAAAUGGCAGAGGAGUUAGGCUCCAAAAAC